UACGGGGGGGGCAAGCGUUGUUCGGAAUUACUGGGCGUAAAGGGUUCGUAGGUGGCUUGCUAAGUCAGACGUGAAAUCCCUCGGCUCAACCGGGGAACUGCGUCUGAGACUGGCGAGCUUGAGUGCAGGAGAGGAACGCAGAAUUCCAGGUGUAGCGGUGAAAUGCGUAGAUAUCUGGGGGAAUACCGGUGGCGAAGGCGGCGUUCUGGACUGCAACUGACACUGAUGAACGAAAGCCAGGGGAGCGAACGGG
rnacentral:rRNA from 1 species